rnacentral:tRNA from 1 species
GGGGGAGUAGCUCAAUGGUACAGAUCCCGCUUCGUAUGCGGGGAAGACCUGGGUUCGAUCCCCGGCUGCAUCC